UUGAUUAUAUUAUACUAGAGAGAUCGAUUAACACAACUAUUUAGCAUGGAAUGCGGAUAUGGUAAGAACUUAUAAGUGUCAACAAUGGGAGACAACCACAUUAAGCUUACAAGGAUAAUGAAUUGAAUAAUUCCCAGAGAUAUAAGUCCCUGGCUACUGCUGGUUAUGAAGUUGCCAUCAAACACAAUUUCAUUCCUGCUGAUCUGACAGCUAGCAGCACAUUGCAGGAAAAGCUGUCUCUUUUUGCCCUGGACCAAAGCAAAAUACAACCAGUAUUUAGCCCAGAAUGCUAAAAUCCUCAAGACUGAAGUAUAUAACUUUCUUAAAAUUCAAACUUUAUAUCUCAAAAUGAGUCUAAUCACCAGGGAAAUUAUAACAAUUUCAAAACCUAUUUCAAAGUUAAAAAUUUGCAAAACCAUAAAUCACAUGCAUAAAUCUAAAGAAUUGUCAAUGAACAUGUAUGUGACAUUCUCUUGUAGAAGGUUUAAGAUCGUGUGCCUGAGGCACACUGCAAGUGAGAUGGUUAAAGUAGGCGGUUAUCUCCUGUUGUGUAAUUUAGCCAAUGAGUCAAGAGAAAGACAAAAUAUCUAAACAGCCACCACUAAAAGAUAAACCACAAUAGAAUCAUGUUCAAGUCACAACCCUUUCGAUACUUGUUCAUAGAGCAACACUGAACUGUGUUUUUUUUUUCUCCUUUCAGUUUUUGAAGUCCAUAAAUUUGUUUUCUGAUUGUAGUAAGUUAUGAAUUACUUAAAAACAUGGGUAGAUUAGAUUUUAGAACAUUGGUUAAGUCAUGCAAAAAUUAUUCUAUACAUGCAAUUUUCUAAAGCUAGUGAUGUUAAUAUGGACAUGAGAGCUUGAUAAUAAUACCUUAUGUAAGCCAUUGGGCACCAAAAUCGAAGCUAGUGAUGCACAUAUACUCGAUAGGCCUUUUAGCCUGCAUGUUUGUCCAGUUCACAAGCUUCUUCGGGGUGAGGAAUGCUAGGUAACUACUUUCUAAAAUGAAAAUAUGCAACACAAAGUCAAAAACUAUAAUAAUAGAGAAACAAAGAAAGAAAGAGUCAACUGCACCUAUCAGAAGGAAAAUGAUGAAAUCCAAUCUUACUGGCAAGAAUAUGAUCUCAUAUGCAUGUAAAUACACAAGAUAAUGUACAUUAGGACAUAUUUCAAACAUGCAUACUAUUAUACUAAGAGUUGGUAAAGUUAAAGUAAUAAAUCAAAGCUAAAAUCUCAACUGGCUAGUUAUGGAAUUUCACUUGUUUGGAUCAGAAUAGCAAUCAAUCUAAUGCUCCCCUAUCCAAACUCGAUUUACUCUUCAUACUCUUAAUUUAACAGCUGCACGGAUGUAAUUUGCUUCAUAAAUGACAGAUGACAUGCAGCCCGCCAGAAAUAAUCCCUCUAAUUAUAAGUUUGAUCAUACCUAUAAUGCACUAUAGUACUGAUGCCAACAAUGGCGUAUCUGAAAUGAUAUACCAAGGCAUCAUCACUAAAUACAUACUUUCAAUUACUUCUGCAGACAGCAUUACUGAGUAUAUACUUUUGAUUCCUUACCAGACACAAGCAAGUAAAGCUGCAGGGGAAGUACAUGGGCCUAUAAAGCCACCCAUCUGCCGCUUGCUUCUUGAUGCUUUCAAGGACUCCAUAAUUG
rnacentral:lncRNA from 1 species